GUUGAUUAUUUACUAUCUUCUUUACAGUUCUUAGUAAUUUAAAAUAAUGCUAAUUUAAUAGUAGAAGCAUUGGUUUCAUAGCAAUUUCACAAGAGUUCAAAAAAUAAUGUAGUAUGAGAUGAAACAUUAUGUGAUUUGUUCGUUGCAAGACAACGUUGUAAUAAAAUGCUCCAUGUUAUGGUUGGCGAGUUAUACCAGCCCAUAAAGCUUCAUAUGUGCUACGCGCAGAACAAGAGGGACUUGUUAACGCUGCAGAACAAGAUGUGGGGGACGGUGAAGAACUCUUGCCUCACAAUAGCUUACACACCGUCU